rnacentral:lncRNA from 1 species
GGAAAAAUUUCUAAGUGUAUUACAUCGUCAUAAACUUCUAUUUCAUUACAUCAAAUGAUAAAUUUUAAUACGGUAAUCAAUGUCUAUGACCGGGGGAUUCGGUUCCACAUGGCGGCCGUCGACGGUUACGCGCUGGAUUCCUCCUUCCUCUAGCUUCCGGCGGCGGUUGUUCUUCCUUCGGUGGUGAUUGUUGUUCUUCCGGUUCGGCAUCUACUUGUCGGACUUGGGACGAUGAUCCACCUUCAAAGAAUAGUGUAUGUGGAGGUGUUUGCAUCAUGAACGGCGACAGAGUUUGAAAUCCAUGCGUUGCUGGCGAUUGGUAAAAAGGAAAGCUCCCCCACGGCCCCCCUUGCGACCCCUCCUGCGCCACUGGCCUAGUUAUCGGUGGUCCGCUCGGCAUUAAAGGAAAUGGAGCUGAUCCGGGC